rnacentral:rRNA from 1 species
ACGAACGCUGGCGGCGUGCUUAACACAUGCAAGUCGAGCGGUAAGGCCCUUUCGGGGGUACACGAGCGGCGAACGGGUGAGUAACACGUGGGUGACCUGCCCUCAGCUCUGGGAUAAGCCGUGGGAAACCGGGUCUAAUACUGGAUAUGACUCCAUGACGCAUGUUGUGGGGUGGAAAGCCUUGUGCGGCGUGAGGAUGGGCCCGCGGCCUAUCAGCUUGUUGGUGGGGUGAUGGCCUACCAAGCGACGACGGGUAGCCGGCCUGAGAGGGCGACC